rnacentral:rRNA from 1 species
UGGGGAAUUUUGGACAAUGGGCGAAAGCCUGAUCCAGCAAUGCCGCGUGUGUGAAGAAGGCCUUCGGGUUGUAAAGCACUUUUGUCCGGAAAGAAAUCCUUGGCUCUAAUACAGUCGGGGGAUGACGGUACCGGAAGAAUAAGCACCGGCUAACUACGUGCCAGCAGCCGCGGUAAUACGUAGGGUGCAAGCGUUAAUCGGAAUUACUGGGCGUAAAGCGUGCGCAGGCGGUUUGCUAAGACCGAUGUGAAAUCCCCGGGCUCAACCUGGGAACCGCAUUGGUGACUGGCAGGCUAGAGUAUGGCAGAGGGGGGUAGAAUUCCACGUGUAGCAGUGAAAUGCGUAGAGAUGUGGAGGAAUACCGAUGGCGAAGGCAGCCCCUGGGCCAAUACUGACGCUCAUGCACGAAAGCGUGGGGAGCAAACAGGAUUAGAUACCCUGGUAGUCCACGCCCUAAACGAUGUCAACUAGUUGUUGGGGAUUUCAUUUCCUUAGUAACGUAGCUAACCGCGCGAAG